UACAGAGGUCCCAAGCGUUGUUCGGAUUCUCUGGGCGUAAAGGGUGCGUAGGCGGUCGGGUAAGUCUGGCGUGAAAUCUCCAAGCCUAACUUGGAAACUGCGUUGGAUACUAUCCGGCUCGAGGAAUGGAGGGGAGACUGGAAUACUUGGUGUAGCAGUGAAAUGCGUAGAUAUCAAGUGGAACACCAGUGGCGAAGGCGAGUCUCUGGACAUUUCCUGACGCUGAGGCACGAAAGCCAGGGGAGCAAACGGG
rnacentral:rRNA from 1 species